GAUGAACGCUGGCGGCGUGCCUAAUACAUGCAAGUCGAGCGAACGGACGAGAAGCUUGCUUCUCUGAUGUUAGCGGCGGACGGGUGAGUAACACGUGGAUAACCUACCUAUAAGACUGGGAUAACUUCGGGAAACCGGAGCUAAUACCGGAUAAUAUUUUGAACCGCAUGGUUCAAAAGUGAAAGACGGUCUUGCUGUCACUUAUAGAUGGAUCCGCGCUGCAUUAGCUAGUUGGUAAGGUAACGGCUUACCAAGGCAACGAUGCAUAGCCGACCUGAGAGGGUGAUCGGCCACACUGGAACUGAGACACGGUCCAGACUCCUACGGGAGGCAGCAGUAGGGAAUCUUCCGCAAUGGGCGAAAGCCUGACGGAGCAACGCCGCGUGAGUGAUGAAGGUCUUCGGAUCGUAAAACUCUGUUAUUAGGGAAGAACAUAUGUGUAAGUAACUGUGCACAUCUUGACGGUACCUAAUCAGAAAGCCACGGCUCACUACGUG
rnacentral:rRNA from 1 species